CCCAAUUAAGUCGUUCGACUCCCAUACAUUAGUGCGAAAUUUCGGGGUCCGUGAAGUACUAGACAAAAAAAAUAUGAUACCUUCAUAUAAUGUUACCUUGUACUCUACUGCAAACUGAAAAUCUAGUACUCCGCUAAUGUUGCUAUGAGUAACAACCUACUUGUUUAUGCAAAUAUAAACAUGAAAAUUUCUGAUUCUGAAAUCAAAAGUUAUGAUGUGGGAAUGUUGGCAAUGCAACCCUACGCCACACAAAUUCACCCAACGCGGGGGCAAUCAGUGAAUCCAAGAUUCCAUUGCCUAAGCCGGAAGCCGACCAGCUUUAGCCCGACCGACCAAAGCACCCGUUGGGGUAUUAGACCUCUUUUUGAUUCCGGAAUCUCAAAGUCUUCGAGUGGUGGCCCGGGCGGGACUUGUUGUGCGCCCCAAAUUGCGAUGGCCAGAGUGGAUAAAACCGCUCGCUGAAUAAUCGGAUUGUGAUAACCGCUAAAUAUACAAAA